rnacentral:rRNA from 1 species
UACAGAGGUCUCAAGCGUUGUUCGGAUUCAUUGGGCGUAAAGGGUGUGUAGGUGGCGCGCUAAGUCGGGUGUGAAAUCUUGGAGCUUAACUCCGAACUGCAUUCGAUACUGCCGUGCUUGAGGACUGGAGAGGAGACUGGAAUUACGGUGUAGCGGUGAAAUGCGUAGAUAUCGUAAGGAAGACCAGUGGCGAAGGCGGGUCUCUGGACAGUUCCUGACGCUGAGGAGCGAAAGCGUGGGGAGC